rnacentral:rRNA from 1 species
AAUAGAUACCCGGUAGUCCACGCCGUAAACGAUGAGUGCUAAGUGUUAGAGGGUUUCCGCCCUUUAGUGCUGCAGCUAACGCAUUAAGCACUCCGCCUGGGGAGUACGGCCGCAAGGCUGAAACUCAAAGGAAUUGACGGGGGCCCGCACAAGCGGUGGAGCAUGUGGUUUAAUUCGAAGCAACGCGAAGAACCUUACCAGGUCUUGACAUCCUCUGACAACCCUAGAGAUAGGGCUUUCCCCUUCGGGGGACAGAGUGACAGGUGGUGCAUGGUUGUCGUCAGCUCGUGUCGUGAGAUGUUGGGUUAAGUCCCGCAACGAGCGCAACCCUUGAUCUUAGUUGCCAGCAUUCAGUUGGGCACUCUAAGGUGACUGCCGGUGACAAACCGGAGGAAGGUGGGGAUGACGUCAAAUCAUCAUGCCCCUUAUGACCUGGGCUACACACGUGCUACAAUGGAUGGUACAAAGGGCUGCAAACCUGCGAAGGUAAGCGAAUCCCAUAAAGCCAUUCUCAGUUCGGAUUGCAGG